UAAGCCACACUGUUUUUUUUAAUAAUGAUGGCAUUAUGUUUUAAUUUCUAAAGUUUUAACUUUUAAACAUACUCAAGGAAAGCAAAUUGACAAAAAUAAUGGCGAUAAAAAAAUGAACAAAAUAAAUAAACAGAUGACAACAAACUAAGAAGUGUAAUAUAAAAACUUCUGAGCGUUCUAUAAGUGCGUAAUUAAGAAAAUAUAACACUAUCAUAUUCCGUUGCUCAAGAC
rnacentral:lncRNA from 1 species